GAUGCAGGUGAAGCAGUGACUGUCCUAAAUCAGUGAUUGGAUGCAGUAAUGGGCUGGAUGAGGGUGAAUAAGCUGAGACUCAAUCCAGACAAGACACUCAAUCCAGACAAGACAGAAACUUUAGUCCUCAACUGUACCUUGCUGCUUCCUUUUCUCGAUUGAGAGCUCAUUUCAGACAACUCGGAUGAGAGUUAGCAUUCCAUUGGUUUUCAUUUAUUUUACCACAUCAUGAGCAAAACCAAAUAUGCAGAGAUACUACAGCUUUGCAACUUCAAGUCUGAGCAAAAAGAACAAAGUGGAUGUGGCAAUGCACAUUCUUAAGAGGGCGGUGAGCCCUAGAACUGAACCCAGAAGAAAGUCAACAGAAGUUUAUACUCAAGGCAUGGAACAGAAGCCAACCUUUAACUUGAAGGAGAAUGGAGAAGGCAAAAUUAUGAGGAGUCUAUGAGUUGUUCUGAGGGAAUCGUGUGCUCCUUAAACAUUUGCCUUGACAGUUGAAGCACUUCAUACAAUGGCUCUCAUGAUAUCCUUUCUUAAAUAAGUAACAGCUUUAUUCUGAUGUUAUCUCCCCCUUUGCUAAGACAGCUGUAUUAGAAGACCGACCUCCAGCUAACUGCCUAUUUCCUGAGUGAGGGAUACAAGGCCUGAAAGCUCAUUUUAGUCUGUCACUUUUUUUGUAUUUAACAUGAGACGUGAUCUUAACAAGAGAUAAUUUUGAGUCCUUUUAAAUUUGGCCAUAUGUUUACCACCCCAACUGGCCUAUUAAGAUCUAACAAAUACUUAUUUUCCAAUGCUGGUUGCUGUGCUUCUUAAAGCUAUUAGGCUACUACAGAUCACCCAAGCCUUCUAGAUUGGCUUUGGUAUAUGUGGGAAGAGGAACUCUUUUGCAGUAGCUUCGUUCCCCUUCCUCUUUGACCCUGUGGAUCUGGCAAAGUAAAUAAGAAAUAUAAUAUGUACAGUGCUUAGUGCUGCCUGUAUGUUAGGUUGAGAAACAGUUGCUUUGUGUAUGCCUUUACACUGGCCGCAUUUGCACGUAACGUGAAGCUGGAGGUGGCCGGACCCAUGGUUAAUUUUUCUAACUGUGGAUCUCAUUGCAGAUGUGUGUCCAACUGUGGUCCAGCAACCUCGAUAUGCAGGGCAGGGGAACCCCUCCCUCUUCCUGUUCUGCCCAGACCUCAUCCCAGCAAGCUCCAUAGUGCCUGUAUCACCAGACUGUGGGCAAGGCAUCAGCACAUCAUAAGAGUGGCAGUCAUUGGCCAUGAUCUGGAAGGGGCUGUGCUAUGCACAAUUGUGCCUUUUUGGAAUGGACAACCUGCCUGUGGAAGGGAAAAGGCAUUUACAUCCCUUUAAAUGCCAUACAAGCCCUUCUUCCGAUGGCAAUUGCACUGAUGCCCUCAUAACAGCCCCAAAACAAAACAGUUUUGCACAAGCACAAUUUCUGACAGGGGUGUGUGUGUGCGUGCACACACACUGAGGGCCACUAUUUUCCUGUUACUCAGGAAAGGGACAGGAAUAUAAUGAAUUCCUAGAAGGAGAUAUGUAUGUGAGCGAGGGAAAAGGAUCCUGGGGUCUGGCCUGCUGUGACCAAUGAUGCUCUUGUGAGGGCUCUCCCCGGCAAAGCAGUCCAUGGAGACUGAACCACAUUCCUGCCCCCAUGGCAUGUACCUAAGCAUUCCAAUGUACCUAAGCAUUCCUGGUUGAGGCUGGCUUUUAAACCCAACCCCGGGUAUCCCCACCCUGCCAUACGUCGCCAUCCCAAUGCUCUGAUGGGGUUGCCCUGCUUGUGUUGCCAUCGCGGGUUAAUGUGCUUGUGAACAUACAUCUUUGUCGCUUCAUUGUCAGAGAGCAAAGUACUUAGUGUGCUUGUUGCCAUCUCAUCCUCUUUCUCUCCUGAUUGCCAGAAUGGGGAGGGGGUGGUGCAAGUGCUCAGAGAGGCAGGCAGCGAGAAGCAUCACAGGCGUGGAGUGGGUGCAAUCUCGGGCAAGUCUGCACCACCACCUCUAUGAUCACGGCUCCAGAAGUGAAACUGUGGUUAUGGUGCCGUCUAUGUUCAGAUGUAAAGCUGCCACUGAAAAACUCUGGUUACGGCAGUGAAACUCACUACAACCCAAAGGUUCAAAUUGGAGUUUGGUGAGGCAAACCACAGGUUGCUUUUGCCACAAAACCAUGGUUGCAUGCAUUCGGAUGUAAUGGAGUUCCAAUCUCUGCCCCGUUUACACCUGGUUUUGCGUUACAUGCAAAUACGGCAAGUCAGAUCAUUGGUUCAUUUAGUUUAGUACACUGACUGGCAAUAGCUCUCCAAAGUUUCAGACAAGGGCCUUUCCUGACUACCUCGAGAUGCCAGGUAUUGAACCUGCAUACGAAACAGGUGUUCUGUUUCUGAACUAUGGCCCCUCCCCAAGGCCCACUGCACAUUGUGAGCUUCAACAUUUUCACCAGUGCUAAACCAGUCAGCACGACCCACUAUGAUAUUCAUAGAGUAUUCUCAUUCAUGCUCUGAAAGUGAGGAACAUUUUUAGUCAAUUCUAUUAAAAAAAAUUAUAGUAUGCUAUGAGAUAUGGUGUGUGUGCUGAGGGGACAGGCUGUUGGGAGGGAUUGAAAAGUUACGUUCUCAUUGCUAUAACAUUGUAACAUAUUAGCAUCACAGUUUUAAGAUGAUUGUUGCAACUGUGUAGGCUACAAACUUAAAUUUAUUUGGAAAUGAAAGCUGGAAUUCUCGAGGUUUAGACAAGAGUCUGCAGGCUAUAUAUUAUAGUAAAUGUUAUGACUUCCAUGCGGCUCAUAUCUCUGCUGAGCUAGAAGGGGUCAAAUUUCAUAUACGUUGGCUGAAUUCCUGCACAUACUUACUUGAAAGUAAGUCUCAUUUAACUCCGUGAGACUUACUUUUGACUAAGCCUGCACACGAUUGGGCCUAUGACAUUUCUUCAGCAGGUUAGAAUUAACCCAUAGUGCUAUAAAACUGUGUUAGUAUCUCCGUCAUAUUUUAAUAAGGAAACACGGAUUACCACAGCUUUGUCGGAAAUGAAACAAGACAAUGCAGCCUAUGCAAAAAGCAAUUCAUUCAUGCUGCUGGUAGUAGAAACCAAUCAGGACCAGCAGUUUAGUGUGGAGUCAUUUUCUUGCUGAAUGGCUUAUUUGCUUUCACUGGGUUCUUCUUUGUUUUUCCUCCAGUAAAUAUCUUUAGCUUGCUGUUUUGAAAAAGCACAUCUAGUGUGAUGAUGAGAAAAAUGGGGUGCAAUAGUCAUUGCCUGUACAUUUAAUACAACAAGGGGGCUCUGCUCUGGGUGCCGACAAUGAGGGAGGCUCAGCUGUUGUGCACUCGGGACAGGACCUUCUUUGUUGCUGCCCCCAGACUUUGGAAUGCUCUCCCAGUGGCCAUUCGCUCCUUGGACUCCAUCACAGUUUUUAGAAAGCUUGUUAAAUCUUGGCUUUUUAUCCAGGCUUUUACAUGAUUGUUUUUAUUGCUGCUUCUAUGUGUUUUUACCCGUAUAUAGUUUUUAUGCUUGUAUUUUAUAGAUUUUAAAUUUGGUUUGUUUUUAUAUUUUUAGCUUAAUAUUUUUAUUGUCAUUUUAUUGCAUGUUUUAAAACUUUUGUAAUCCGCCUUGAGAUUGUUUUUAAUGAAAGGUGGUAUAUAAAUUCAACAAUAAAAUAAAUAAAUAUAAAUAAACAACAUUUAUAUACCGCUUUUUAACAAAGGUUUCCAAAGUGGUUUACAUAGAGAAAUAAUAAAUGUUUUAAAUGGAUAAUAAAAUACCCACCUUAAACAAAUUGGUAACAAUAAUGUCAUUUACUAACUUGUUCCUUAUAAUAAUGUUAUUUAUUACGUUGAUAGCUUUCAUUUCUUCCCUGGAGCUCAAGGGAACCUUUACAGCAA